GACACAGUCAGUUACUGGCACCAAACUGAGCAGAAAGUCUGUUGCUGCCACUGAUCCCAGUCAACAGCUUUUUUAACACCGGGGAAAAAUUUUGCAGGGAAGGUGAAUAUCCAAGGUCUUACGGAAUUGCUGACCAGAAGCUGCCCACCUAAAUGAAAAUGAGGGAACUUCACAUGGAUUUGUUUGUUUGCCAAACAGAAGAACCCAACUUCUGCAAAGAGUGGUUAGGACAAGAAAUUCAUCAGUCUGGGAUGAUGAGCAUCUGCAGUCCUGUGAUUACAGAAGAGGAGAAAGGUGGAAAUGGCUGAGAAAGAAAAAAGUACACCGUAAAUUUCCCAGCUGAUCCAUUGGAUUGGCACACAAACUGCCUGGAAAGGUUGUGGCAGAGCCAUUGGCAUGAAUACAAAACAGAAUGUUUACUUUAAUAGGAAAAAAACCCCCAACAACCAGAAAAGAAGUGAUGCAGCUGUAUUGUUCUAUCCAUUAAAUUACAUUAACAGCAAUUCAAAAGGUGCACUCCAGGCCUUUGCUGGCACCAAGCUCUUUUAUUCAUUAAUCUUCUUAAUGUAGCCAAUGAACUUUAGAAUUAAAGAAUAUGUUGUGGGUUCU